rnacentral:rRNA from 1 species
AUUGAACGCUGGCGGCAGGCCUAACACAUGCAAGUCGAGCGGAGCGGCGGACGGGUGAGUAAUGCCUAGGAAUCUGCCUGGUAGUGGGGGAUAACGUCCGGAAACGGGCGCUAAUACCGCAUACUAUCAGAUGAGCCUAGGUCGGAUUAGCUAGUUGGUGGGGUAAAGGCCUACCAAGGCGACGAUCCGUAACUGGUCUGGGAUGAUGAUCAGUCACACUGGAACUGAGACACGGUCCAUACUCCUACGGACGGCAGCAGUGGGGCUUAUUGGAAGCUGGGCGAAAGCCUGAUCCAGCCAUGCCGCGUGUGUGAAUACGUUCUUCUGAUUGUAAAGCACUUUAAGUUGGGAGGCGUUACCAACAGAAUAAGCACCGGCUAACUUCGUGCCAGCAGCCGCGGUAAUUC